UACGUAGGGGGCAAGCGUUGUCCGGAAUCAUUGGGCGUAAAGCGCGUGUAGGCGGCUCGGUAAGUCUGUUGUGAAAGUCCAGGGCUCAACCCUGGGAUGCCGGUGGAUACUGUCGAGCUCGAGUCCGGAAGAGGCGAGUGGAAUUCCCGGUGUAGUGGUGAUAUGCGUAGAUAUCGGGAGGAACACCAGUGGCGAAGGCGGCUCUCUGGGCCUUUCCUGACGCUGAGACGCGAAAGCGUGGGGAGCGAACCGG
rnacentral:rRNA from 1 species